rnacentral:rRNA from 1 species
CCAGCAGCCGCGGUAAUUCCAGCUCCAAUAGCGUAUAUUAAAGUUGUUGCAGUUAAAAAGCUCGUAGUUGAAGUUCUGAUUGUUCAGGUCCUCAGCUUUUAGGCGGGGAUACUGACAGUCAUCCGCUUGCAAGUAUCAGUUCGGGCUUCACCGCCUGGCUAUAUAAGUAAGCAUUUUACCUUGAGAAAAACAGAGUGUUCCAGGCAGGUUUGUCCGGAAUGCAUUAGCAUGGAAUAAUAGAACAUGACUGAAGUCAGUUAUUGGUUUAGGGCUUUAGUAAUGAUUAAUAGGAACAGUCGGGGGCAUUCGUACUCAGCAGUCAGAGGUGAAAUUCUAAGAUUUGC